AGGAGUACUGUAGUCUUGGACUCAGAGGGCAGAGGACUUGUGGCAACAUAUAGGACUUCUGGAGCUAAAGGAAGGACGUGUCAUGGCUUGAGAAAAAGCGUGAAAAUCUAGACUUGACUCUUUGGAGACCAAAACUGGAAGAUGAGACAGUUUGCAUUUUGAUCAGAUGUAGCUGUUCAAUCUUCCAAAAGAAUUAGAAAAAGAAGAUAAGAGGGAGAGGGAGGGAAAGAGAGGCAUAGCAGAGAGAGCAUGAAGAAGGUAUGUAUAUGUAACAGAGACAUAAAUUAAGACUGGAUUGAGGCAGAUGAAGAAACAAGUACAAGGCAAUAAUGGUGGAAGAGACAGAAGAGAACUUCCUAAAUUAAAGCAGACAAAAAUGUGAAAAAGAAAAUCUAUGAGGAGAAAUUAGAGAAUGGUGAGGCAUGAAAAAGGAAUAUGAAAAUAAAGAUUUCUGUUAUAAGUUUCAGAUUUAAUAUGUGUUUUAUGCAGCAACUGUCACACUUCAAUAUUAGCAAUUUUUGCUUCUAUUACUUUAACUCAUAGUCACGGAUAGAAUGGUAAAGUCUGAAGAGGUGGGAAGGCACAAACCAAAAAUGUGUCUGUCCUACAGUAAUUGUAAUCUGAAGUUAAAACAAAUAACAAUAUAUGAUACAGACGAAAGAAGAACACAAGGAAAUGUUUAGA